AUAACACAGCCGAGAAAGGGAAAAUCUUCACUGCCAAGAUGUCAGUGUUCUUCUAUGGAAGUCUUUGCGUGUGUUUAUCUUUUGGUGCAUGGAGUCUGCCAGGAACUGUUAUCCAGGCUGCAAUAGGAAUUGGUGGAGCUUGUUCAGGCCCUGUACUUGGCGUAUUCCUUCUGGG